rnacentral:rRNA from 1 species
UACCAGCACCCCGAGUGGUCGGGACGAUUAUUGGGCCUAAAGCAUCCGUAGCCGGUCCUGCAAGUCUUCCGUUAAAUCCAGCUGCUCAACAGAUGGGCUGCGGGGAUGAUACUACAGGGCUAGGAGGCGGGAGAGGCAAGCGGUACUUUAUGGGGUAGGGGUAAAAUCCGCUGAUCCAUAGAAGACCACCAGUGGCGAAGGCGGCUUGCCAGAACGCGCUCGACGGUGAGGGAUGAAAGCUGGGGGAGCAAACCGG